rnacentral:rRNA from 1 species
UACGUAGGUGGCGAGCGUUGUCCGGAUUUACUGGGCGUAAAGGGAGCGUAGGCGGAUUUUUUAAGUGAGAUGUGAAAAUACCCGGGCUCAACUUUGGGUGCUGCAUUUCAAACUGGAAGUCUAGAGUGCAGGAGAGGAGAGUGGAAUUCCUGGUGUAGCGGUGAAAUGCGUAGAGAUCGGGAGGAACACCGGUGGCGAAGGCGGCCAGCUGGCGCUGACCUGACGCUGAGGCGCGAAGGCGUGGGGGAGCGAACGGG